AAAUUGGAUACAAUUCAUGGCUGCACAAGAACUAGUAGUGCAGCUAUUUUAUUGAGAGAAUUUCUAAGGAUGAAUAGUGAUGCCCAAAUUUAAAGGAUUCAUAGGCUAGUAAACACUAAAACAUAAUUUGAAGAUGACAUAGGUUUGCAAACUUUUUCUUUUGUCAAAUAAGUAUAUUAAAACAACAAUUGACAAAAUGAACAAGAAUCAACAACCACCAUGUGCUAGUGACAUUGUUUAAACCUUUUAAUUGUACCAAGUAGGAAUAUUAAAACAACCAACACCUAAACAUACCAAAAACAAAAUCAACCUCUGUAACAACCAUGAACUAGUGAUAUUAUAUAUAAAAGUAAAGGAUAUUUCUAAAACCAAAAAAGUAGAAAGAACAACAUGCCAUAAUGAUACCAAUGGGUUAUGUGUUUUGAGUGUUAUGUGCUAGGCAUGUUCCAAAUGCUUUAUAUGCAUAAACUCUAUUAAUCCUCACGAAAAGACUAAAAGGUGGACACUAACACCUUAAUUUUAUAGGAGAAGAAAUUGGGCACUGAGAUGAGAAGCUGACGAGGAUCACCUGCUGAUAGAUGGUAAGGCUGGGAAUUGAAUCCACAAGACAGGCUCUGGAAUGUACGAUGUGGGAUCUUGAGCAUCAUAUGAUCGUGUAUCUCUAAUAAGAUGAUUCUUUCCAAAAAUAGAAAUCUCAGCAAACAUACUCAGAUGUUUCUGGGGGUGAAUUCAUGUGACUAUUUUUAUUUUAUUUUUUUCUUAUUUUGCUGCAGAUCUGUUAUAACAUCAUCACAGAGCAGUCUGGACUGGAAUUUAGGAAGCCCGAGACUGCAGCUGCAGGCUGCAGCUCAGCAAGGGAUCCGGAAUGGAAAUGUCCUGUGCUGUUUACGGGGGGAACCCUAAGACAGAUAAAGGAAAUGGCUCAUUUUUCUUUAAUAAGCCAUCUACGUUUCGUGGUAGGGCUUGAGCAACCUUCUAAAAGGCCUUCAUACUUGUCACCCUACUUUGUUCUCAGCCUCAGGGACAACAUGCUCAUGGAGAAGUCUGGUUCUCCUGCCUGGGAUUCUAUCAUUUCCUGCUUCCCUGACCUGACUGUGAUGCUUCCCUGUUCUACGGUGAUCUGGAGUGACAAGAGCAAGGAGUGAUUGCUUCUAAGCAGAGUAGGCUGUCUGAACCGUCAACCCUCUGGGGCAAAGAGCAAUCGUGUUUACCCACAAAGAGGAAAAAUGAAGACACUUGAAGCCUCAUCAGUAAAGAAAAUAAAGCUAACAGGGGAUUUAAUUACAAGCUCACUGACAACCAGUUAGCACUGUGUUUGGGUUCAUUUCUCUUUUGGCUAUUUUGUAGAAAAUAUUUCAAAUUAAGAAAAUAAAAUCCUAUGAUAAUUCCCCAUGCAGCAUAAAUUGUUCCAGAGCCCAGAAAAUUGUGGAUCAUUUCCCAAUUCAUAUCACCAAUCCAGAAUCACACUGAUACUAAAAUCAGAGAAACAGCCAAAAGGGGGCAGAGACAAAAAAAAGUGACAGUACCAUCCCAUUUAUAAUUACAGACUCAAAAUCCUCAAUUAAAACCUAACCAACUGUUCUUAGCACUAGAUUAAAAAACCACACUCUAUGGCCAAGGUGUUUCUAUUCCAGGAGUGCAAGGAUGAUUUAAUAUAAGGAAAGCUAUUAAUAUAACACAUCUCAAGUGUGUUAGAUUGAACCCAAGUCAAGGGGAUGCUAAUUAAUGCUAUAUGAGGGAGGGGGGACAGGUAAUAUUUGGAAAUGAAGGGUUUAACAAAGUUAAUGGAAUUCUUGACUACUGGACUUCUCAGAAUCUUUAAUAUGCUAAUGAGCAAAUUAAUUUCUAAGAAGAAACUAUACUAUGUAGCAUUUUCCCCAAAUUAUUUUAUCAGACAACAAUCUCCCCACCCCCAAUUUUUUUUCAUGGACCAGCUUGUGGAAAACAUGUUCUCUAAAAAACAUUCUAAUAGACCCUAUAUUAAAUUAAUUUAUGGUAUUAGCCAUUUAAACAAGAAGCAACUCAUCAUUUCUUUGACAGAUACCAAAAAGGAUUUGAUAAAAUGUAAUAUACAGUCCAAAUAAGAAUGUUUUAAUCUAUGACUAAAGGGAUAUUCCUUUAACACCUAAUAAAGAACACCUCUGUUAAACUAAAGGCUGGUAUCACAAGUAAUUGUAAAAAUAUUAGCGAUAUACGUUGUUAGAAUCAGGAACUAGAAAAAUGACUUUACUGUUAUCUUUUUUCAUUAAAGUCCUGGAAAUUUCAGUGAGUGUAAUUAAGACAUGAAAUGUUGAUGAUGAGAAGAAACAGAAAUAUUAUAGCUAGAUGAAAUAAUUGUUUAUAAGUAGUGGAAAAGAACUAAAAACUGUUUAAAUAAGGGAGUUUGAGAAAAUGGCUGUAUACAGAAACAUAUACACUUAAAAACAAAUCAUUUUCUCAAGUGUCAGGAUAACAGGCAUGAGCCACUGUGCUCCAAAAACUAAUAGUUUUCUCUUAUAACCAGAAACAACAGUUAGAAAGUACAAUGGAGCCAAAUAAUCCUACAUUCAUAAUAACAGCAAAAAUAGUUUUAAAAACCAAAGAAUCACCUUAAUAAAAAGUUGUGGGACUUUCAAGACUAGUUUUACUAAAUGGGAGGACUAAAGGCUGCAGACGUGUAAAUUUCCCCCAGAUAAUUAAUGUAUUUGAGUGCAAUUCUGAUCAAAAUUCCACUGGUGCAAAAAAAUCACAAAGGAAAACUACACUGACAAAGUGAGGGGAAAAUGUUGGUAACGUAAAUGGAAUUCAAAGGGUUGAUAUUUUUAAUAGAAAAAUUGCUCUUUUGAACUGAUUGUAAAAAGACAAACACUGAAGGAAAAAGAAGCAGGCCAGGUACACACACACACACACACACACACACACACACACACACAUAUUUCUAGCUCAGGGCUUUUGAUCUUCCCCUGACAACAGCUCCUUCUGAGAGGGUUCUCUCUUGACCACUCUACAUCAAAUAUCAAAUGCCCUCAUGCCUCACCAGGGCAUUCCCUAGUCUUCUCAUCCAACUUUACUUUUCUCCACAACAUUUAUCACCACUCAACAUAGCAGAGAUUUUUAAAUUUGUUGUCUUUCUCCUCCCAUUAGACUGCAAAUUUUGUGAGUAUUGUUUAUUUGGUUAAUCUCUGUUUUCCCAGGAUCUAGGGUAAUACUUGCCAUGUAAUAGAGGCUCAAUAAAUAUUUGUUGAUUAAAUGAAUAAAUAUCAUUUAGUCUCCUCUAUUUAUUUGAAGUAUUUUCUAAAUUCAUUGCACACUGACUAAUUUAUUUUAUGUGUGACUGUUGUUUACAUUCACAUCAGCAUGUUCAUGCCUUAGGUCGUGUAUUUAGAGAUACCUCAUUGGCUUGGGAAGCACUUGCUAUUUUGUAAUUAAAUUGUACUUCAUAUGAAGCAGGACACUAAAGCUUUGGGUAGAAAACCACAUUUUAGUUGGAGUCUGUCACAGACCUAUGAAAACUCUCAUUUGUGUGGACUGAUUGGCUCAUCUCAGUAGUUUAAGAGAAACUGUCACCUAGCAGCAGGCUGGCUGCCAAGGAUAGUAUAGCUGCCAAAGGUAAGAGCUGCAAAUGCUACAUUUGGUUGGGGCAAUCAUGGGCCAUAUAACAUACAGGACUGUUGAGUCAGACUCAGAGCUGCAGGUUAUGGCUGUGUAGCGUGUCUCCUACACACAGGUACGGGGCUAGGGGUGUGUAGAGGCUGGAAGUGUGUGGGGCCUGAAAUCCUCCUUGUAUAAGAGUUGCACCUUGGUUCUGUCUGUAUCAACCCAGAGGAAGAAAUACUAUGAUAUUGUGAUGUACUAAGAAAUAAACAUUUGAUCUUUGUUCCAAAUCACUGGCACAGAGGUCCUAAAAUUCUUGUAAUUUCCUGAGUCAUAGGGAUGAUAGGAACAUCUUUUGUUAUAGUUUUUGGCCUUAGUCCCUAGUUUCUGACACAGCGCUUCUAAGACCCUUGGAAUCUCCAGAGUAAUAUGAAUGCCUGGUGGGCGGGCUCCCUAGACAGCUUCAGGAUAGGGCUAGUUGCCAGGGAAACCAAUCAUAUGAUUAGAGGAUUGGAAUUUUCAGCCUCAUCCCCCAACGUAAGGGGAUAGGAGAGGAGCUCAAGAUUGAGCUCAACCAUCAAUGGCCAUUGAUUUAAUCAAAUUCUACCUACAGAAUGGAACCACCAUAAAACCCCUAAACAAUGGUGUUCCAAGAACUUCUGGGUUGGUGAACAUGUGAAAGUUCUGGAAGGGUGGUGGACCUGGAGAGGGCAUGCAGCUCCCCUUCUCACAUCCUUUGCCCUUUGGAUCUCUUCCAUUUGGCUGUUCCUGAGUUGUAUCCUUUAUAAUAAACCAGCAAUGGUAAAUAAACUGCUUUCCUAAAUGCUGUGAGCCAUUCUAGCAAAUCAUCCAACCCAAGGAGGAAGUGGUAAGCACCCCUGAUUUACUGCUGGUUGGUCAGAAAUUAUGAGAGGCCCAGGUCUGCAACUGGCAUUUGAAAUGUAGGGCAGUCUUGUGGGACUGAGGCCUUUACCUGUGUGGUCUACGCUAACUCUGGUUAGUUAGUGUCAGAACUGAAUUGAGUUGUAGUAGACCCAGCUGGUGUCGGAGAAUUGGUUGG